UACAGAGGUCUCAAGCGUUGUUCGGAAUCACUGGGCGUAAAGGGUGCGUAGGCGGCGGGGAAAGUCAGAUGUGAAAUCCGGAGGCUCAACCUCCGAAUUGCAUCCGAUACUCCCUCGCUAGAGAGUUGUAGGGGAGCUUGGAAUUCUCGGUGUAGCAGUGAAAUGCGUAGAUAUCGAGAAGAACGCUCGCAGCGAAGGCGAAGCUCUGGGCAACAUCUGACGCUGAUGCACGAAGGCUAGGGGAGCAAACGGG
rnacentral:rRNA from 1 species